ensembl:processed_transcript predicted gene, 38132
AUUGGAGUGGAAAGAGAGCCAAGUGAGAAGAAAUGGCAUACCUGUUUGCCAUGAAANAACUGAAGCAGAGGGAGACUUGGAUCAUGAAGUGACGGGUGCACUGGGGGACCAUAAAGUGGUAGAGGAAGGAUGCCCACAAGUAGAUACCCCAGNAGGGUUUCCUCAGCCAGCAGGUUCUAACUUAGAAAGGCACUGCUGGGUUGCACUGUGAUGAGCCCACCAGUCACAGAUGACAACUGUGUUCAUGCCACUAUUUGCAGAAGCAGGUGGUGUGUUCUCUCACUUAACACAACACGCUUACAUCACCAUUCUUACCACCCAAACCCUGGUANCUUGAAGAAUGGCUCUGCUAUGUCUCUGUACAAAGUCUAGAAAAACCCUCUGGUUCUCACCAAGGCUAAUCCAUGAAAUGUAUGGUUCUCACUACACAGACCCCAUCACACCUUGUGUUCAAGACACUGUUUCAAGCAGAAUUCCGGACAGAAACAACUUAAAGGAGAAAGAAUGCGCGGUGGCUCAUGGUUCCCAGGGAUAGCUGUCUGUCAAGAAGGAGAAGGCGUGGUCGAGUCUGUGACCGGAGAGCGUGGAGCAGAGGCUGCUCCUAUGUGGGAAGCAGCGAGCUCAGUCAGGAGCCAGAAUCUCUGCCCCAGUAACGCACUCCUGCUGGUGGGGCCACAACCUCUAAACCAGGGCCACCAGCAGGGGCUAAGUGUGC